rnacentral:rRNA from 1 species
UAUGAACCGUUAUAACCGGCGAUUUCCGAAUGGGGAAACCCAGUGUGUUUCGACACACUAUCAUUAACUGAAUCCAUAGGUUAAUGAGGCGAACCGGGGGAACUGAAACAUCUAAGUACCCCGAGGAAAAGAAAUCAACCGAGAUUCCCCCAGUAGCGGCGAGCGAACGGGGAGCAGCCCAGAGCCUGAAUCAGUGUGUGUGUUAGUGGAAGCGUCUGGAAAGGCGCGCGAUACAGGGUGACAGCCCCGUACACAAAAAUGCACAUGCUGUGAGCUCGAUGAGUAGGGCGGGACACGUGGUAUCCUGUCUGAAUAUGGGGGGACCAUCCUCCAAGGCUAAAUACUCCUGACUGACCGAUAGUGAACCAGUACCGUGAGGGAAAGGCGAAAAGAACCCCGGCGAGGGGAGUGAAAAAGAACCUGAAACCGUGUACGUACAAGCAGUGGGAGCCUCUUUUAUGGGGUGACUGCGUACCUUUUGUAUAAUGGGUCAGCGACUUAUAUUCUGUAGCAAGGUUAACCGAAUAGGGGAGCCGAAGGGAAACCGAGUCUUAACUGGGCGUUAAGUUGCAGGGUAUAGACCCGAAACCCGGUGAUCUAGCCAUGGGCAGGUUGAAGGUUGGGUAACACUAACUGGAGGACCGAACCGACUAAUGUUGAAAAAUUAGCGGAUGACUUGUGGCUGGGGGUGAAAGGCCAAUCAAACCGGGAGAUAGCUGGUUCUCCCCGAAAGCUAUUUAGGUAGCGCCUCGUGAAUUCAUCUCCGGGGGUAGAGCACUGUUUCGGCAAGGGGGUCAUCCCGACUUACCAACCCGAUGCAAACUGCGAAUACCGGAGAAUGUUAUCACGGGAGACACACGGCGGGUGCUAACGUCCGUCGUGAAGAGGGAAACAACCCAGACCGCCAGCUAAGGUCCCAAAGUCAUGGUUAAGUGGGAAACGAUGUGGGAAGGCCCAGACAGCCAGGAUGUUGGCUUAGAAGCAGCCAUCAUUUAAAGAAAGCGUAAUAGCUCACUGGUCGAGUCGGCCUGCGCGGAAGAUGUAACGGGGCUAAACCAUGCACCGAAGCUGCGGCAGCGACGCUGAUGCGUUGUUGGGUAGGGGAGCGUUCUGUAAGCCUGUGAAGGUGUGCUGUGAGGCAUGCUGGAGGUAUCAGAAGUGCGAAUGCUGACAUAAGUAACGAUAAAGCGGGUGAAAAGCCCGCUCGCCGGAAGACCAAGGGUUCCUGUCCAACGUUAAUCGGGGCAGGGUGAGUCGACCCCUAAGGCGAGGCCGAAAGGCGUAGUCGAUGGGAAACAGGUUAAUAUUCCUGUACUUGGUGUUACUGCGAAGGGGGGACGGAGAAGGC